UACGUAGGGGGCAAGUGUUGUCCGGAUUUAUUGGGCGUAAAGAGCGUGUAGGCGGCUUUACAGGUCCGUUGUGAAAACUCGAGGCUCAACCUCGAGACGCCGGUGGAAACCGUAAGGCUAGAGUCCGGAAGAGGAGAGUGGAAUUCCUGGUGUAGCGGUGAAAUGCGCAGAUAUCAGGAAGAACACCCGUGGCGAAGGCGGCUCCUCGUGGGACGGUACUGACGCUGAGACGCGAAAGCGUGGGGAGCGAACAGG
rnacentral:rRNA from 1 species